rnacentral:tRNA from 1 species
CCCUACGGGGUGCAGCAGGCGGGAAACGUCUUCGCGCGAAAAUCGCCGAGAUGAUACGAUGCCGGUUGCCUGAAAACCCCUACUCCGUGUAUACUCUUGUGUACAAGGGCGCAUAGCUCAGUUGGCUAGAGCGCAUCCCUUACAAGGAUGAGGUCACAGGUCCGAGCCCUGUUGCGCCCAAUGUGUGCGAUGUUUUGCGGGAGAAAACUGCGAAUCCGCGGUCAGCCUCUGGUCCAGAAGUACGCCAACACCGCAGCCGCCAGCAGCACGCGGUAGACUCCGAACGGCGUCAGGCCGUGAGAUGUAAGCCACUUCACGAAACCCUUAACAGCCAGCGCCGCGACGAUUCCGCUUACAGCCAGGCCAACCAGCAAACCGACCGGGC